GAAUUUCACUCAACUUUAGACCAAACCUAAUUAAAUCUUAAACCCUAAUAAUUCCUAAAUCCUAAGUCAAAUCCUAAAAAAAUCUUAAAUUAAACCCUAUUCCAAACCCUAAAUCCUAAACCAAACCCUAAAUCAAACCCUAAACCAAACCCUUAUCCAACCCUAAAUUCUAAACCAAACCUUAAAUCAAAUCCUAACCAAACCCUAAAUCAAAUCCUAACCAAA
rnacentral:lncRNA from 1 species